AUGAGAAUGCCUCCUCACAGGGCUUCUGUGGGACUUAGAGGGGUUGAUUUAGGUACAGUGUUUAGAAUAGAGACUAGCAAUAGGCACAACAUAAAGUUAGUAGUCCUCACCAUCAUCUUCACCACCAUCAACAUCCCUGCCACCAUCACAAUCACCACCAUCAGCACCAUCACUACCAUCACCAUCACCAUCACCACUAUAAUCAUCACCAUCACCAUCACCACCACCAUCAUCACCACAUCACUACCAUCACCACCAUCACCACCAUUACCACCAUCACCACCAUCAACGCCAUCAGCACCAUCACCACCAUCAACGCCAUCAACACCAUCACCACCAUCACCACCAUCACCACCAUCAACGCCAUCAGCGCCAUCAGCACUACCACCAUCACCACCAUCAGUGCCAUCAGCGCCACCACCAUCACCACCAUCAGCACCAUCACCACCAUCAGCGCCACCACCAUCACCACCAUCAGCACCACCACCAUCACCACCAUCAGCACCAUCACCACCAUCAGCACCAUCACCAUCAGCGCCACCACCAUCACCACCAUCAGCACCAUCACCACCAUCAGCGCCAUCAACGCCAUCAGCACCAUCACCACCACCACCACCAUCAGCACCAUCACCACCAUCAGUGCCACCACCAUCACCACCAUCAGCACCAUCACCACCAUCACCACCAUCAGCACCAUCACCACCAUCAGCGCCACCACCAUCACCACCAUCAGCACCAUCACCACCAUCAGCACCACCACCAUCACCACCAUCACUGCCAUCAGCGCCACCACCAUCACCACCAUCAGCACCAUCACCACCAUCAGCGCCAUCAACGCCAUCAGCACCAUCACCACCAUCACCGCCAUCAGCGCCAUCAGCGCCACCACCAUCACCACCACCACCACCAUCAGCACCAUCAGCACCAUCACCACCAUCAGUGCCACCACCAUCACCACCAUCAGCACUAUCACCACCAUCAACACCAUCAGCGCCAUCAGCGCCACCACCAUCAGCACCAUCAGCACCAUCACCACCAUCAGCGCCACCACCAUCACCACCAUCAGCGCCACCACCAUCACCACCAUCACCACCAUCACCACCAUCAGCACCACCACCAUCACCACCAUCAGCACCAUCACCACCAUCAGCGCCACCACCAUCACCACCAUCAGCACCAUCACCACCAUCAGCACCACCACCAUCACCACCAUCACUGCCAUCAGCGCCACCACCAUCACCACCAUCAGCACCAUCACCACCAUCAGCGCCAUCAACGCCAUCAGCACCAUCACCACCAUCACCGCCAUCAGCGCCAUCAGCGCCACCACCACCACCACCAUCAGCACCAUCAGCACCAUCACCACCAUCAGUGCCACCACCAUCACCACCAUCAGCACUAUCACCACCAUCAACACCAUCAGCGCCAUCAGCGCCACCACCAUCAGCACCAUCAGCACCAUCACCACCAUCAGCGCCACCACCAUCACCACCAUCAGCGCCACCACCAUCACCACCAUCACCACCAUCACCACCAUCAGCACCACCACCAUCACCACCAUCACUGCCAUCAGCGCCACCACCAUCACCACCAUCAGCACCAUCACCACCAUCAGCGCCAUCAACGCCAUCAGCACCAUCACCACCACCACCACCAUCAGCACCAUCAGCACCAUCACCACCAUCAGUGCCACCACCAUCACCACCAUCAGCACCAUCACCACCAUCACCACCAUCAGCACCAUCACCACCAUCAGCGCCACCACCAUCACCACCAUCAGUGCCACCACCAUCACCACCAUCAGCUCCAUCACCACCAUCAGCGCCACCACCAUCACCACCAUCAGCACCAUCACCACCAUCAGCGCCAUCAACGCCAUCAGCACCAUCAGCACCAUCACCGUCAUCAGCGCCAUCAGCGCCACCACCACCACCACCACCACCAUCAGCACCAUCAGCACCAUCACCACCAUCAGCACCACCACCAUCACCACCAUCAGCACCACCACCAUCACCACCAUCAGCACCAUCACCACCAUCAGCACCAUCACCAUCAGCGCCACCACCAUCACCACCAUCAGCACCAUCACCACCAUCAGCGCCAUCAGCGCCAUCAGCGCCAUCAGCGCCACCACCAUCACCACCAUCAGCACCGUCAGCACCAUGUUACCAUUACUUUCCUGCUGUUAGCAUUCCCCCCACCCAGCAGACAAGACUGCAGUAA
rnacentral:lncRNA from 1 species